GUGUGUGUGUGUGUGUGUGUGUGUGUGUGUGUGUGUGUGUGUGUGUGUGUGUGUGUGUGUGUGCCAUCUCAGCACUGUUCUGCCCUCUGUGUGUCGAGGUCACACUGUUUUAAGUAUCCAAUCACAUUCAAUCAGGAAGCUGGUCGACCUUGUUAAAGAACAUUGUUCCUUUAUUUAUUGAUCUGUAACGUUGUUAUUCUUAUUAUUAAAGUGAUAAACAGGUUAAUAAUUGGACUCACUUGUUUUUUAAUAAGCAUAAGCCUACUGCAAAUCACAUUACAUGUUUCUAAUACAAAUAAGGAAGAAGCAUUUUACAGAGUACAGUAUGUCUACAUUCUCUCCUCUUAAUCUAAACACAACUAUUAUUUGUCUUCCUCAUUCUCUUAAUUGUCUUCUUCCUCCUCUGGCUCCAUCUCCUCUCCUCCUUUCAACCCUAUUAGAGGAGAUGGUCCAAGGUCCCUCCCCUGGGAUUGUAUUAUCCAAUGUCUUGAGACAGUCUGUACUACCACUAUUUCACCUCUAUGGUUUUAGUCUCAGUAGACAGGAAGUACCAACUGGAUUUUAACUUCUGCCAGCCCUCAGGACAGGACACCACAAUCGAUGGGGGCGCAGAGCAGUACCAUUCUGCUCAUCUGAUGAAGGUGCACGUGAAUCAGUAUCAGUCAUUAUUUGCAGAGACAGAUACUUAUAUUUUUUUAUUUAACGAGGCAAGUCAUUUAAGAACAAAUUAUUAUUUACAAUGAUGUCCUAGGAACAGUGGGUUAACUGCCUUGUUCAGGGGCAGAACAACAGAUGUUUACCUCGUCAGCUCAGGGAUUUCAUUCAACAACCUUCCGGUUACUGGGCCAACGCUCUAACCACUAGACUACAUGCCGCCCCAACUGGGAUGGAUCCCGAGGCAAAUGUGGCUGACCAGUGAACCUCCAGGUGUUCAUCAUUAAUACUGUGACCAAGACUGAUGCAACCCGAAAAAAACUUGAGGUCACUGAGAAAGUCUUGACAUGGCCUGCUCUCCCUUAUGUAAGGAAUGAAGCAUCUUUGCCAUGUUUACUAUGUACUGUGGGCCAUGUUUACUAUGUACUGUGGGAUAUGUUUACUAUGUACUGUGGGCUAUGUUUACGAUGUACUGUGGGCUAUGUUUACGAUGUACUGUGGGCUAUGUUUACUAUGUACUGUGUGCUAUGUUUACUAUGUACUGUGGGCUAUGUUUACUAUGUACUGUGGGCCAUGUUUACUAUGUACUGUGGGAUAUGUUUACUAUGUACUGUGGGCCAUGUUUACUAUGUACUGUGGGCUAUGUUUACUAUGUACUGUGGGAUAUGUUUACUAUGUACUGUGGGCUAUGUUUACUAUGUACUGUGGGAUAUGUUUACUAUGUACUGUGGGCUAUGUUUACUAUGUACUGUGGGCUAUGUUUACUUGUCAGACUGCACAGUAGCUUAUUAAACGUGUGCAUUUUGAAAUAGUAAAAAAAUAUAAAUAAAUCAACAACAUGUUUCUA